ACGUUCGGGUAAUCGCUGUAACUGGCUUUUCAGUUGCAGAGGAAAGUCCAUGCUCGCACGAGCUGAGAUGCUCGUAGUGUUCGUGCCUAGCGAAAUCAUAAGCUAGGGCAGCCGGUGCUUACAGGCUCGGCUGACGGCUGGGAAAAUGCCUAAGUCCUGAUGGAUAUGGCAUGAGUACCUAUAAAAGUGCCACAGUGACGCAGCCUUUUCAGAAAUGAAAAGGGUGGAACGAGGUAAACCCCGCGAGCGAGAAACCCAAAUAAUGGUAGGGGCACCUUCUCUGAGGAAAUGAACGAGGAGAAGGACAGAUUGAGGCUUCAAUCUGUAGAUAGAUGAUUACCGCCGGAGUACGAGACGAAAGUCGUUAGAGUACGAUGGUACAGAACAUGGCUUACAGAA
rnacentral:RNase_P_RNA from 2 species